CCUACGGGUGGCAGCAGUCGAGAAUCAUUCACAAUGGGGGAAACCCUGAUGGUGCGACGCCGCGUGGGGGCAUGAAGGUCUUCGGAUUGUAAACCCCUGUCAUGUGGGAGUAAAUUAAAAAGAUAGUACCACAAGAGGAAGAGACGGUUAACUCUGUGCCAGCAGCCGCGGUAAUACAGAGGUCUCAAGCGUUGUUCGGAAUCACUGGGCGUAAAGGGUGCGUUGGCUGUUUCGUAAGUCGUGUGUGAAAGUCGCGGGCUCAACCCGCGGACGGCACAUGAUACUGCGAGACUAGAGUAAUGGAGGGGGAACCGGAAUUCUCGGUGUAGCAGUGAAAUGCGUAGAUAUCGAGAGGAACACUCGUGGCGAAGGCGGGUUCCUGGACAUUAACUGACGCUGAGGCACGAAGGCCAGGGGAGCGAAAGGGAUUAGAUACCCUAGUAGUC
rnacentral:rRNA from 1 species